AUUGAACGCUGGCGGCAGGCCUAACACAUGCAAGUAGAACGAGUGGCGUACGGGUUAGUAAUGUCUGUGAAACUGCCUGAUGGAUGGGGAUAACUACUGGAAACGGUCUCUAAUACCGCCUACACUCACAUGUGCCCAGAUGGGAUUAGCUUGUUGGUGGGGUAACGGCUCACCAAGGCCACGAUCCCUACCUGGUCUGAGAGGAUGACCAGCCACACUGGAACUGAGACACGGUCCAGACUCCUACGGGAGGCAGCAGUGGGGAAUAUUGCACAAUGGGCGAAAGCCUGAUGCAGCCAUGCCGCGUGUAUGAAGAAGGCCUUCGGGUUGUAAAGUACUUUAAGCGGGGAGGCGUUACCCGCAGAAUAAGCACCGGCUAACUCCGUGCCAGCAGCCGCGGUAAUAC
rnacentral:rRNA from 1 species